rnacentral:rRNA from 1 species
GACGAACGCUGGCGGCGUGCCUAAUACAUGCAAGUCGAACGCUUUUUCUUUCACCGGAGCUUGCUCCAUCGAAAGAAAAAGAGUGGCGAACGGGUGAGUAACACGUGGGUAACCUGCCCAUCAGAAGGGGAUAACACUUGAAAACAGGUGCUAAUACCGUAUAACACUAUUUUCCGCAUGGAAGAAAGUUGAAAGGCGCUUUUGCGUCACUGAUGGAUGGACCGGCGGUGCAUUAGCUAGUUGGUGAGGUAACGGCUCACCAAGGCAACGAUGCAUAGCCGACCUGAGAGGGUGAUCGGCCACACUGGGACUGAGACACGGCCCAGACUCCUACGGGAGGCAGCAGUAGGGAAUCUUCGGCAAUGGACGAAAGUCUGACCGAGCAACGCCGCGUGAGUGAAGAAGGUUUUCGGAUCGUAAAACUCUGUUGUUAGAGAAGAACAAGGAUGAGAGUAAAAUGUUCAUCCCUUGACGGUAUCUAGCCAGAAAGCCACGGCUAACUACGUGUCAGCAGCCGCAGUAA